UACGUAGGGGCAAGCGUUGUCCGGAAUCAUUGGGCGUAAAGAGCGUGUAGGCGGCCCGAUAAGUCCGCCGUGAAAGUCCAGGGCUCAACCCUGGAAUGCCGGUGGAAACUGUCGGGCUGGAGUCCGGAAGAGGCGAGUGGAAUUCCUGGUGUAGCGGUGAAAUGCGCAGAUAUCAGGAGGAACACCAAUGGCGAAGGCAGCUCGCUGGGACGGUACUGACGCUGAGACGCGAAGCGUGGGGAGCAAACAGG
rnacentral:rRNA from 1 species